GAGACCGGCGCACGGGUGCGUAACGCGUAUGCAAUCUGCCUUUCACAGAGGGAUAGCCCAGAGAAAUUUGGAUUAAUACCUCAUAGUAUNNUANANCNGCANNNNUUUANNAUUAAAGUCACAACGGUGAAAGAUGAGCAUGCGUCCCAUUAGUUAGUUGGUAAGGUAACGGCUUACCAAGACUUCGAUGGGUAGGGGUCCUGAGAGGGAGAUCCCCCACACUGGUACUGAGACACGGACCAGACUCCUACGGGAGGCAGCAGUGAGGAAUAUUGGUCAAUGGGCGCAAGCCUGAACCAGCCAUGCCGCGUGCAGGAUGACGGUCCUAUGGAUUGUAAACUGCUUUUGUACGAGAAGAAACACUGCUUCGUGAAGCAGCUUGACGGUAUCGUAAGAAUAAGGAUCGGCUAACUCCGUGCCAGCAGCCGCGGUAAUACGGAGGAUCCAAGCGUUAUCCGGAAUCAUUGGGUUUAAAGGGUCCGUAGGCGGUCUUGUAAGUCAGUGGUGAAAGCCCAUCGCUCAACGAUGGAACGGCCAUUGAUACUGCAGGACUUGAAUUAUUAGGAAGUAACUAGAAUAUGUAGUGUAGCGGUGAAAUGCUUAGAGAUUACAUGGAAUACCAAUUGCGAAGGCAGGUUACUACUAAUGGAUUGACGCUGAUGGACGAAAGCGUGGGUAGCGAACAGGAUUAGAUACCCUGGUAGUCCACGCCGUAAACGAUGGAUACUAGCUGUUGGGAGCAAUUUCAGUGGCUAAGCGAAAGUGAUAAGUAUCCCACCUGGGGAGUACGAACGCAAGUUUGAAACUCAAAGGAAUUGACGGGGGCCCGCACAAGCGGUGGAGCAUGUGGUUUAAUUCGAUGAUACGCGAGGAACCUUACCAAGGCUUAAAUGCAGACUGACCGAUUUGGAAACAGAUCUUUCGCAAGACAGUUUACAAGGUGCUGCAUGGUUGUCGUCAGCUCGUGCCGUGAGGUGUCAGGUUAAGUCCUAUAACGAGCGCAACCCCUGUUGUUAGUUGCCAGCGAGUCAUGUCGGGAACUCUAACAAGACUGCCAGUGCAAACUGUGAGGAAGGUGGGGAUGACGUCAAAUCAUCACGGCCCUUACGCCUUGGGCUACACACGUGCUACAAUGGCCGGUACAGAGAGCAGCCACUGGGCGACCAGGAGCGAAUCUAUAAAGCCGGUCA
rnacentral:rRNA from 1 species